GCCCUCGUAGCUCAGGGGAUAGAGCACCGCUCUCCUAAAGCGGGUGUCGGACGUUCGAAUCGUCUCGAGGGCG
rnacentral:tRNA from 1 species